rnacentral:rRNA from 1 species
CGGCGAUGUCCGAAUGGGGAAACCCAGUGCAAUUCGUUGCACUAUCGUUAACUGAAUACAUAGGUUAACGAGGCGAACCGGGGGAACUGAAACAUCUAAGUACCCCGAGGAAAAGAAAUCAACCGAGAUUCCCCCAGUAGCGGCGAGCGAACGGGGAGCAGCCCAGAGUCUGAAUCAGCUUGUGUGUUAGUGGAACGGUCUGGAAAGUCCGACGGUACAGGGUGAUAGUCCCGUACACCAAAAUGCACAGGCUGUGAACUCGAAGAGUAGGGCGGGACACGUGGUAUCCUGUCUGAAUAUGGGGGGACCAUCCUCCAAGGCUAAAUACUCCUGACUGACCGAUAGUGAACCAGUACCGUGAGGGAAAGGCGAAAAGAACCCCGGCGAGGGGAGUGAAAAAGAACCUGAAACCGUGUACGUACAAGCAGUGGGAGCACCUUCGGGUGUGACUGCGUACCUUUUGUAUAAUGGGUCAGCGACUUAUAUUCUGUAGCAAGGUUAACCGUAUAGGGGAGCCGCAGGGAAACCGAGUCUUAACUGGGCGUUAAGUUGCAGGGUAUAGACCCGAAACCCGGUGAUCUAGCCAUGGGCAGGUUGAAGGUUGGGUAACACUAACUGGAGGACCGAACCGACUAAUGUUGAAAAAUUAGCGGAUGACUUGUGGCUGGGGGUGAAAGGCCAAUCAAACCGGGAGAUAGCUGGUUCUCCCCGAAAGCUAUUUAGGUAGCGCCUCGUGAACUCAUCUUCGGGGGUAGAGCACUGUUUCGGCUAGGGGGUCAUCCCGACUUACCAACCCGAUGCAAACUACGAAUACCGAAGAAUGUUAUCACGGGAGACACACGGCGGGUGCUAACGUCCGUCGUGAAGAGGGAAACAACCCAGACCGCCAGCUAAGGUCCCAAAGUCAUGGUUAAGUGGGAAACGAUGUGGGAAGGCACAGACAGCCAGGAUGUUGGCUUAGAAGCAGCCAUCAUUUAAAGAAAGCGUAAUAGCUCACUGGUCGAGUCGGCCUGCGCGGAAGAUGUAACGGGGCUAAACCAUGCACCGAAGCUGCGGCAGCGACACUAUGUGUUGUUGGGUAGGGGAGCGUUCUGUAAGCCUGCGAAGGUGACCUGUGAGGGUUGCUGGAGGUAUCAGAAGUGCGAAUGCUGACAUAAGUAACGAUAAAGCGGGUGAAAAGCCCGCUCGCCGGAAGACCAAGGGUUCCUGUCCAACGUUAAUCGGGGCAGGGUGAGUCGACCCCUAAGGCGAGGCCGAAAGGCGUAGUCGAUGGGAAACAGGUUAAUAUUCCUGUACUUGGUGUUACUGCGAAGGGGGGACGGAGAAGGCUAUGUUAGCCGGGCGACGGUUGUCCCGGUUUAAGCAUGUAGGCUGAUUGUCCAGGCAAAUCCGGAUAAUCAAGGCUGAGGUGUGAUGACGAGGCACUACGGUGCUGAAGUAACAAAUGCCCUGCUUCCAGGAAAAGCCUCUAAGCAUCAGGUAACAUUAAAUCGUACCCCAAACCGACACAGGUGGUCAGGUAGAGAAUACCAAGGCGCUUGAGAGAACUCGGGUGAAGGAACUAGGCAAAAUGGUGCCGUAACUUCGGGAGAAGGCACGCUGGUGUGUAGGUGAAGCCCCUGCGGGUGGAGCUGAGACCAGUCGAAGAUACCAGCUGGCUGCAACUGUUUAUUAAAAACACAGCACUGUGCAAACACGAAAGUGGACGUAUACGGUGUGACGCCUGCCCGGUGCCGGAAGGUUAAUUGAUGGGGUUAUCCGUAAGGAGAAGCUCUUGAUCGAAGCCCCGGUAAACGGCGGCCGUAACUAUAACGGUCCUAAGGUAGCGAAAUUCCUUGUCGGGUAAGUUCCGACCUGCACGAAUGGCGUAAUGAUGGCCAGGCUGUCUCCACCCGAGACUCAGUGAAAUUGAACUCGCUGUGAAGAUGCAGUGUACCCGCGGCAAGACGGAAAGACCCCGUGAACCUUUACUAUAGCUUGACACUGAACAUUGAGCCUUGAUGUGUAGGAUAGGUGGGAGGCUUUGAAGCGUGGACGCCAGUCUGCGUGGAGCCAACCUUGAAAUACCACCCUUUAAUGUUUGAUGUUCUAACGUUGGCCCCUGACCGGGGUUGCGGACAGUGUCUGGUGGGUAGUUUGACUGGGGCGGUCUCCUCCCAAAGCGUAACGGAGGAGCACGAAGGUUAGCUAAUCCUGGUCGGACAUCAGGAGGUUAGUGCAAUGGCAUAAGCUAGCUUGACUGCGAGCGUGACGGCGCGAGCAGGUGCGAAAGCAGGUCAUAGUGAUCCGGUGGUUCUGAAUGGAAGGGCCAUCGCUCAACGGAUAAAAGGUACUCCGGGGAUAACAGGCUGAUACCGCCCAAGAGUUCAUAUCGACGGCGGUGUUUGGCACCUCGAUGUCGGCUCAUCACAUCCUGGGGCUGAAGUAGGUCCCAAGGGUAUGGCUGUUCGCCAUUUAAAGUGGUACGCGAGCUGGGUUUAGAACGUCGUGAGACAGUUCGGUCCCUAUCUGCCGUGGGCGCUGGAGAAUUGAGGGGGGCUGCUCCUAGUACGAGAGGACCGGAGUGGACGCAUCACUGGUGUUCGGGUUGUCAUGCCAAUGGCACUGCCCGGUAGCUAAAUGCGGAAGAGAUAAGUGCUGAAAGCAUCUAAGCACGAAACUUGCCCCGAGAUGAGUUCUCCCUGAGACUUUAAGUCUCCUGAAGGAACGUUGAAGACGACGACGUUGAUAGGCCGGGUGUGUAAGCGCAGCGAUGCGUUGAGCUAACCGGUACUAAUGAACCGUGAGGCUUAACCUU